GUUUUCUUUUUAAAUAUUUCGCUGUAUUUCUAUGGGCAUCAGUACUCAUGCUCUGUACAUAUACCUAUUGCUGGACUGUGUGUAAAAGAUACUGGUAUAGGUUUAAAAUUUCAUUUCAGGAUGUCCACUGUCCAGAAGCAAUUCCAAAUCUAGUUCUCCAAAUAUUCACUUAGCAAUAUGAAAUGCAUAAUGUGCCUUCUAAAAUGCAUUUUUAAUCAAUCUAACUAAAUUAAUUUUUGCUUAGAAAAAAAAUGCAGAAAGCAAAACAAAGCUUCUCCAAUACUAAAAUAGAUUAUAGAGUAAGGAUUUUAUGCUUGUUUAUUUCUUUGAGGAAUAACUGCUGUUAACAUUGUAACUUUUCUUUUUUGAAAAACCUUAUGAUGCUUUUGUAUGAAUUCCUUGCAUUUUUGAAGCUUUUCUUAUGCUUAAUGUAUAGCUUAAUGUAUUUUCAAUCGUUAUUGCAGCAAUUUACUCCUCACCUUGAUGUGUUACUGGCCUAGAAUUAUUUAGCUAGCCAAGAACCUUAAAGGAGGGUUGAGUUUGGAUAAUCAUGAGAGCAAUUCUAUGAAUAUUGCAUGGACAGUGAUAAUAAACUGUUGACAUAAAAAAUGCUUUAAAAGCUUGAAGUUUAUUAAACACCUCUUCAACAGGGGAAUAAAAAAGGGAAAGUUUAUUCUUCUUAAUUUGUUUGGUUUAUCAGUUUACCACGGAUUUUCUUUGCAGUUAUGAAAGAUGUGACAUGAGCUUGUUUAUUUUCUUUUUUUUCCCAUGCUCACUCUUGCUUUCUGUCUCUCUUAGUUCGUGUUUGAUAUAAACUGAGCAUUUGCUAUAAAUUAGUGCCUGAUCUAACUAAUGUUAAGAAAUACAGUGAUUUGACUGGCCUGAAACAUCUGCAUUUGAUUCUAUCAUACUGAUAUCUUUUCCAUAAUUAGGCUUUUCU
rnacentral:misc_RNA from 1 species